GCCCGGGUGGCUCAGCGGUUGAGCAUCUGCCUUCGGCUCAGGGCAUGAUCCUGGAGACCCGGGAUCGAGUCCCGCAUCGGGCU
rnacentral:tRNA from 1 species